rnacentral:lncRNA from 1 species
AUGGCUAGGAAAAAGGAAGGUAUUUCUAGUUAUGGAGCCAUGAAGAGAUUGGGCAUUGGAGACCAACCAAAGGCAGAUAACAAAUUGAAGAGCCUUUAUUCUUGGAAAGCUGCUAGAACUUCAGGUAAGAAUAGUAGGAAUACGUCUUCUCCACCCCCCCCCCCCAAACUUAACUUGGCUGCCAAGAAUAAUAGUUUCAUCAGCAUGGGGGACGAACAUGAAAACCAACAGCUUUGUUGCCAGAGGGGAUGAACUCAAUCUGGGUGUGUGUGUGUGUGUGGUGGGGGGUGGUGGUGAAAAUAUUUGGCUUUAUUGUUUAAAAGGGGUGGACAUGGCUGGGGACAAAAAAGGAAAGGUGCAGCUUUGCAAGCCCGACCGUAUGGUUCUGGUUGGGGUGAAUGGUGAGUGGUGGACCAGCCAGAAAUGUAAUGGGGAAAUCCUGGAGAUGAGAGACCCACAGAAAGGCUGAGAUAAUCUCACCAUAUGUUCUUGACUGAUUAGAAAACUCUCCAUGCUUGGAGGAGACCUGAGGGAGGCUGGUGAACAUUGAAAGCUGAGGGAGACUUGAGAAUUGGCUGUAACUUGAAAUACAUUUUGCCAGCAACAUAGAAAUUAACCGACAGAGGUGAAAGCUUUGUGGGAAUGAGGCAUUUGACCUCAAGCUCUGCCCAAAUCACUGGCUUACCACUAAGCUAUGCACAUAAAAGAGAGAUCUUUGGGAAAAUAGUCUAAAAACAAAAAUAAGAAUUAAAACACUGAGCAGAGACAUCAGUGAUUCCACACUUCAAGUACAAGUAAGUUACUAAAAAAAAUUAUUGAAAAAUAAUGACCCCACAACCUUAAGAAAAAUGAAGCAGAAUCAAGAAGUAAUGUCUUCUCUCUCUAUUUAUUAAAGAAACAGUGAGAAAAGAUACAAUGCAGGAAAAACACCAACCAUCCUUUCACGUCAGGCUGAAAGAAGCACAAUGAUUUUUUCUUUCAUUCCCCAAUUCCCAUAUUCCCACCCACGUCAGUAGAAAAAAAAAAAGAAUUGCUACAAUAUUUAUCUAAAAAUGUUGAUUUUUAAAAUGAAAUUGACUAGGCAUACAAGAAAAAGGAAAAUAUAAUCUACACUCAAUUUAAAAAAAAGGCAGUCAAUAGAAGUUGCUCAGGGUGAGCCCAGAUGUUGCUUUAUAGACCAAGACUUCAAAGCAGCUAUUGUAAAUAUGUUCAGAGAAUUAGAGGGAAUUAUGGGGUGCCCAGG